GACAAAGCUGUAGACCCACUAUCAGAAAAGGAGAUCACAGGCAGGAGACACUGAAGAGUAUCCACUAAAACUGAGGCAGUCCCUUAGGCUAGGGUGCUUAGAUCCUUUUUUCCUCUUUAGUGUUGAAUCUGGCUUCAUCUGUGCUAGAUUAGGAGCUCCCUUCACCUUGCUUACUCCCCUACUCAUGCUACACACACAGUGGAAGCUCAGUGAGACGUCUACACACACAGUGGGAGCUCACAUCCAUGCACACAGUGAGAGCUCACAUCCAUGCACACAGUGGGUGCUCACAUCCAUGCACACAGUGGGAGCUCACAUCCAUGCACACAGUGGGUGCUCACAUCCAUGCACACAGUGGGAGCUCACAUCCAUGCACACAGUGGGAGCUCACAUCCAUGCGCACAGUGGGAGCUCACAUCCAUGCGCACAGUGGGUGCUCAUAUCCAUGCGCACAGUCGAGCUCAUAUCCAUGCACACAGUGGGAACUCUAUCCAUGCACACAGUGGGAGCUCACAUCCAUGCACACAGUGGGAGCUCACAUCCAUGCACACAGUGGGUGCUCACAUCCAUGCACACAGUGGGAGCUCACAUCCAUGCACACAGUGGGAGCUCACAUCCAUGCACACAGUCGAGCUCAUAUCCAUUCACACAGUGGGAACUCUAUCCAUGCACACAGUGGGAGCUCACAUCCAUGCACACAGUGGGUGCUCACAUCCAUGCACACAGUGGGAGCUCACAUCCAUGCACACAGUGGGAGCUCACAUCCAUGCACACAGUCGAGCUCAUAUCCAUUCACACAGUGGGAACUCUAUCCAUGCACACAGUGGGAGCUCACAUCCAUGCACACAGUGGGUGCUCACAUCCAUGCACACAGUGGGUGCUCACAUCCAUGCACACAGUGGGAGCUCACAUCCAUGCACACAGUCGAGCUCAUAUCCAUUCACACAGUGGGAACUCUAUCCAUGCACACAGUGGGAGCUCACAUCCAUGCACACAGUGGGUGCUCACAUCCAUGCACACAGUGGGAGCUCACAUCCAUGCACACAGUGGGAGCUCACAUCCAUGCACACAGUCGAGCUCAUAUCCAUUCACACAGUGGGAACUCUAUCCAUGCACACAGUGGGAGCUCACAUCCAUGCACACAGUGGGUGCUCACAUCCAUGCACACAGUGGGUGCUCACAUCCAUGCACACAGUGGGUGCUCACAUCCAUGCACACAGUGGGAGCUCACAUCCAUGCACACAGUGGGAGCUCACAUCCAUGCACACAGUGGGAGCUCCUAUCCAUGCACACAGUGGAAGCUCACAUCCAUGCACACAGUGGGUGCUCACAUCCAUGCACACAGUGGGAGCUCACAUCCAUGCACACAGUGGGAGCUCACAUCCAUGCACACAAUCGAGCUAAUAUCCAUGCACACAGUGGGAGCUCACAUCCAUGCACACAGUCGAGCUCACAUCCAUGCACACAGUGGGUGCUCACAUCCAUGCACACAGUGGGAGCUCACAUCCAUGCACACAGUGGGAGCUCCUAUCCAUGCACACAGUGGAAACUCAUAUCCAUGCACACAGUGGGUGCUCAUAUCCAUGCACACAGUCGAACUCAUAUCCAUGCACACAGUGGGAACUCUAUCCAUGCACACAGUGGGAGCUCAUAUCCAUGCACACAGUGGGAAGUGAUAUCCAUGCACACAGAGCUGAUGAUAUCCAUGCACAGAGUAUGAGCUCAUAUCCACGCACAGAGUGAGAGCUGAUAUCCAUGGACACAGUGGGAGCUCAUAUCCAUCCACAGAGAGCUGAUAUCCAUGCACACAGUGGGAGCUCUAUCCAUGCACACAGUGGGAGCUCUAUCCAUGCACAGUGGGAACUCUAUCCAUGCACACAGUGGGAACUCUAUCCAUGCACACAGUGGGAACUCUAUCCAUGCACACAGUGGGAGCUCAUAUCCAUGCACACAGUGGGAGCUCUAUCCAUGCACACAAUGGGAGCUCAGUGGAACAUGCCAGAUGGUCAGUGGAGCUGAGUCUUGACUGGGAAAACUCAAGCACUUUAGAAAAAAAACACAGUAGAAGAAGUCUAUGUGACUUCAGAGCAACACAGUAGUCUUAUGUCUAUAAAAGGAAUAAAUAUAGUGAACAUUUAGAAGAAAUUAUGGUUAUCUUAUUUACUGAAAAGGGGUCUUACAAAAAUAGAUGGAAUGUUUAAAAUUAGCACUAAAUAAGAAGAAUUUGCUAAUUACCAAUAUGAAAUAUUAAAUGGUCUGAAGGAACAAUAGGAAGGAAAUGGCAGAGCAGAAAUCACAUUAAUGUCCCAAGGAGCCUUCUAUUAACACUCUGAUUUAUCACCCACCGGGGGGCUGGUGGUGGGUGCAGCCCACUCAAGAUGCAAGUAGUAAGGGGCGUGUCUCUGUCAAUCAUUUAAAAACAAUAAUAAAACUAACUAAAAGCUGGGAUUCUUUGCUUUAUGUACUAGAAUUUUUAAACGAUGCCAGGAAACAAGUAUUGCUUCCUAAAAAGGCCUUUUGUUAGCAUAAGUUCAAAAUAACUGUCGAGGUUACUAUUGAGUUUUAAAAUAUAUGUAAAAUUCAAAUUCACAUAUUGUAACAUGCAGUUUUUUUUUUUUUGAGACAAAGUCUCACUCUGUCCCAGAUACAUGGGGAGGUGAGAGGCAGGACAGAGGGUCACCUGAGUCCAGAAGUCAAAGCUGCAGUGAGCCAUGAUUGUGUCACUGCACUCUAGCCUGGGUGACAGUGUGAGAUCCUGUCUCAGAAAAAAAAAGAAAAAGAAAGGAAGGAAGAAGGAAGGAAGGAAGGAGCAGGAGAGAGAGAAAGAAGAAAGAAAAGAAAGAAAGAAAGAAAGAAAGAAGGAAGGAAGGAAGGAAGGAAAGGAAGGAGAGGAAGGAGAGGAAGGAAAAGAAGAAAGGAAGAAAGAAAAAAGGAAAAAGAAAGAGAAAGAAAGAAAAAGAAAGAGAAAAAGAAAGAGAGAAAGGAAGGAAGGGAUUAAAAAUGGCCGAAUAGAUGAACUGCUCGGUGUAACAUUUUUGUUUGGAAAGUGCAAAUUGAAGUCAUGCAAUAACAUUUGAAUAAAGUUUACUGAAUUUCAGUGUCUUCAAAAUUGAAAUGUAUCACUUUCCAAGUAUUAGUUGUUGCUAUACAAAUAAUUUCAAGAAAAUCAUCAUCAUCACUGAGCUUUUCAUACGUAUCAACUGAAAAUGGCCUUUGAUGUAGAGCAGGGUGCAGAAAGGUGAGUGGCCAUGGGUGCCAAGCACUGCAGGAAUUCCAUAUGGGCCCAGGAGAGAGGGGCCCAGCUUGUGCAGCAGACCAGCCAACUCUGCUGCUGGAACUCUGGAGGAACAAAGGGGAGUUAACAGGUCGUUAGAAAAGAGACAGAACGUAAAUGGUAAAGCCACACUGUGCUUUUGUUUUUAAGGAAAUCUUGAGCAUGAAACAGGAAAGAUGAGAGAAGUGAGCCUAGACCAAGAACGAUUGUUUGUGCGUUUAGAAAGGAAGCAAGGAUGCAGCGAAGGAGGAAGGGAAUAUGUGGUUGUGGACCCACAAACAACAAACAAACAAACCACGAACACACUUGCAAAAUUGUGAAUGACUCUUGGUAUCAAUAUUACCGCAAGAUAAUUUUUACAAAACAAAAUCAGAUGUUAAGCAUUCCUUUAAGAAGGCCAAGGAAAGAAUAAUUGCCAAUUUAUCUGUGGAGCAAGAAAACAUGGUAAAUUUAAAAUAGUAAAUUAAGAAUGACAUUCUUCUAAAAAUGUAUACUUUUAACUUGCUACUGAUACAUGAUAAUAAUACAGUAACAAAUAACAACAAUUAUUAAACAAUUAACUAUUGCUAAAUGCUUCUGCAGUCCCUCCUUUGGGGGGCCAAGGUGGUAAGAUCACUUGAGCCCAGGAGUUCAAGACCUCAUCUCUACCAAAAAAAAAAAAAAAAGAAAUAAUUAAACUAUAUACAAAAAUACAGAUGAAAUAAUGUGAUGUCUGGAGUGGGUACAAUUGUGUUCCCCAAAAAGAUAUAUUGAAGACCUACCUCCGUUACCUGUGAAUGUGAAUGUAUUUAGAAAUAGGCUUUGCAGGUGUAAUAAAGUUCAGAUGAGGUCCUCUGGGUCAGGGUGGGCCUUAAUUCCAGCAUGACUCUCCAGGUGUAUGUGAUAAAAACAGGGAAUUUGGACUCAGGUGCAGGGGAUGCAGGGAGCCCCACUGUGUGGAGGCUGAGGUGGGGACUGGAGGGCAUGUCUACAAGUCAGGGAGCUCUGAGGAUGGCUGGCA
rnacentral:lncRNA from 1 species